ensembl:snoRNA SNORA62 Small nucleolar RNA SNORA62/SNORA6 family
ACUGCACACUGUUAGAGCUUGGGGUUGAGGCUGCUGGCUGGUCUACGAACUCAAAAGCGUAGGUAGUGUGCUACGUGAGGGUUAAGUCCUUUGCUAACACCACAAAGGUCUCUGGCUCAAUGAGUGGAGUUUGAUGGUAAUUCUUGCUACCAGU